UUAGAAAAACGGGACUUGAACCCACACUUAAAGACUCAAAAUCUUCCGCACUCCACUAUACUAUUCUCUA
rnacentral:tRNA from 1 species